AUGCAUUUACCCAGUGGAGUUAACAACACACCUGCUGCCCGUGGACGCCGCCGAAGAAGCAUCGUUAAAGUCUCUCUUCUCCCUGCCGUCAUGUCUAAGUCAGAGUCUCCUAAAGAGCCCGAACAGCUGAGGAAGCUCUUCAUUGGAGGGUUGAGCUUUGAAACAACUGAUGAGAGCCUGAGGAGCCAUUUUGAGCAAUGGGGAACGCUCACGGACUGUGUGGUAAUGAGAGAUCCAAACACCAAGCAACAUCACCUAAGAGAUUAUUUUGAACAGUAUGGGAAAAUUGAAGUGAUUGAAAUCAUGACUGACCGAGGCAGUGGCAAGAAAAGGGGCUUUGCCUUUGUAACCUUUGAUGACCAUGACUCCGUGGACAAGAUUGUCAUUCAGAAAUACCAUACUGUGAAUGGCCACAACUGUGAAGUUAGGAAAGCCCUGUCAAAGCAAGAGAUGGCUAGUGCUUCAUCCAGCCAAAGAGGUCGAAGUGGUUCUGGAAACUUUGGAGGUGGUCGUGGAGGUGGUUUCGGUGGGAAUGACAACUUCGGUCGUGGAGGAAACUUCAGUGGUCGUGGUGGCUUUGGUGGCAGCCGUGGUGGUGGUGGAUAUGGUGGCAGUGGGGAUGGCUAUAAUGGAUUUGGUAAUGAUGGAAGCAAUUUUGGAGGUGGUGGAAACUACAAUGAUUUUGGCAACUACAACAAUCAGUCUUCAAAUUUUGGACCCAUGAAGGGAGGAAAUUUUGGAGGCAGAAGCUCUGGCCCCUAUGGCGGUGGAGGCCAAUACUUUGCAAAACCACGAAACCAAGGUGGCUAUGGCGGUUCCAGCAGCAGCAGUAGCUAUGGCAGUGGCAGAAGAUUUUAAUUAGGAAACAAAGCUUAGCAGGAGAGGAGAGCCAGAGAAGUGACAGGGAAGCUACAGGUUACAACAGAUUUGUGAACUCAGCCAAGCACAGUGGUGGCAGGGCCUAGCUGCUACAAAGAAGACAUGUUUUAGACAAAUACUCAUGUGUAUGGGCAAAAAACUCGAGGACUGUAUUUGUGACUAAUUGUAUAACAGGUUAUUUUAGUUUCUGUUCUGUGGAAAGUGUAAAGCAUUCCAACAAAGGGUUUUAAUGUAGAUUUUUUUUUUUUGCACCCAUGCUGUUGAUUGCUAAAUGUAAUAGUCUGAUCGUGACGCUGAAUAAAUGUCUUUUUUUUAAUGUGCUGUGUAAAGUUAGUCUACUCUGAAGCCAUCUUGGUAAAUUUCCCCAACAGUGUGAAGUUAGAAUUCCUUCAGGGUGAUGCCAGGUUCUAUUUGGAAUUUAUAUACAACCUGCUUGGGUGGAGAAGCCAUUGUCUUCGGAAACCUUGGUGUAGUUGAACUGAUAGUUACUGUUGUGACCUGAAGUUCACCAUUAAAAGGGAUUACCCAAGCAAAAUCAUGGAAUUACUGGUUAUAAAAGUGAUUGUUGGCACAUCCUAUGCAAUAUAUCUAAAUUGAAUAAUGGUACCAGAUAAAAUUAUAGAUGGGAAUGAAGCUUGUGUAUCAUCCAUUAUCAUGUGUAAUCAAUAAACGAUUUAAUUCUCUUGAAAAAAAAAAA